rnacentral:rRNA from 1 species
AUUAAUAAUUAAUAUAUUUAAUAAAAAUAAUUUUAAUUUAAUAAAUAUUUUAAUGGGGGUUAAAGUAUUUUUUAAAGAAAAAAUUUUUAAAUUUAUAGUUAAUUAGUAUUGUGAAAGAAUUUUGAAAUAUUAUGAAAAAUAAAAUUUUUAUAAAGUAAUUUUUAUUUAUUGUAUCUUGUGUAUCAGAGUUUAUUAAAAAUUUUUAACUUAUAAAUUAAUUUCUCGAAUUUAAAAGAGUUAAAUAAUUAUUAAAGUUAUUGUAGCAAAAUUAUUUUAAAUAAUUAUUUAGAAAUGAAAUGUUAAUCGUUUUUAAAUAUAUCUAGUUUUUAUAGAAAAAAAUUUAAUUUUAAAUUUAAAAAUUAUUUAAUUAAUUUAUUAAUUAAAUAAUUAUUUAAAUUUUAUAAUUUAAGGGAUAAGCUUUAAAUUAAAUUUUUAUAAUAUUAAAUUUUUAUUUUGAAAAUUUUAUAAUUUAUAUUGUUAAUAAAUUUUAUUUUGUUAUAAAUAAUUUCAUUUUUUUUAAAAUUUAAAUUUUAUUUAAUUUUUUAUAUAAAAUUUAUUUAUAAUUAUAUAAAGUUAAUUAUAAUGAUAAAAUUAGUAUAUUAUUUAAUAUUAAAUUAAAAUUAAUUUUUGAUUAAUAAUUAAAUUAAUUAAAAGGAAUUCGGCAAAUAUUUAUUUUCACUUGUUUAUCAAAAACAUGUCUUUUUGUUAUUUAAUUUAAAGUCUAAUCUGCCCACUGAUUUAUAAAAAUUGAAGGGCUGCAGUAUAUUGACUGUACAAAGGUAGCAUAAUCAUUAGUCUCUUAAUUGGUGACUUGUAUGAAAGAUUGGAUGAAAAAUAUACUGUCUCUUAAUUAAUAUAUAGAAUUUAAUUUUUUAUUUAAAAAGUUAAAAUAAUUUAAAAAGACGAGAAGACCCUAUAGAGUUUAAUAAAUUAUUUUAUGAAAGUUUUAUUUAUAUUUACUAAUAAUUUUAUAAAUUUAUUUAUUUUGUUGGGGUGAUAAAAAAAUAAAUUUAACUUUUUUUAAGUAAUUUACAUGAAUAAGUGAUUAAU